AGAGUUUGAUCAUGGCUCAGAUUAAACGCUGGCGGCAUGCCUUACACAUGCAAGUCGAACGGCAGCGACGGGGGCAACCCUGGUGGCGAGUGGCGGACGGGUGAGUAAAGCAUCGGAACGUAUCCUGGAGUGGGGGAUAACGUAGCGAAAGUUACGCUAAUACCGCAUAUUCUGUGAGCAGGAAAGCAGGGGAUCGCAAGACCUUGCGCUCUGGGAGCGGCCGAUGUCGGAUUAGCUAGUUGGUGGGGUAAAGGCCUACCAAGGCGACGAUCCGUAGCGGGUCUGAGAGGAUGAUCCGCCACACUGGGACUGAGACACGGCCCAGACUCCUACGGGAGGCAGCAGUGGGGAAUUUUGGACAAUGGGCGAAAGCCUGAUCCAGCCAUGCCGCGUGAGUGAAGAAGGCCUUCGGGUUGUAAAGCUCUUUCGGUGGGGAAGAAAUUGCAUGGGCUAAUACCCUGUGUAGAUGACGGUACCUGGAGAAGAAGCACCGGCUAACUACGUG
rnacentral:rRNA from 1 species